rnacentral:rRNA from 1 species
UACGUAGGCAGCGAGCGUUGUUCGGAGUUACUGGGCGUAAAGGGUGUGUAGGCGGUUCUUUAAGUUUGGUGUGAAAUCUCCCGGCUCAACCGGGAGGGUGCGCCGAAAACUGGGGGACUAGAGUGCGGGAUGGGAGAGUAGAAUUCCUGGUGUAACGGUGAAAUGCGUAGAUAUCAGGAGGAACACCGGUGGUGCAGACGGCUCUCUGGACCGUAACUGACGCUGAGACACGAAAGCGUGGGUAGCAAACAGG